AUCUUAUUUAACAUGUAUGUUACAAGCAGUGAUCAAACUUGUUCUUACAAAAUUAAAACUUCUAUUAUCAGUCACUCGUCGUACAUUUUAUUGCUAUGGUUUUAGGUGUUAAGAAUGAUGUAAAGAUGCAGGCUCAUUGAUAGUUUGUUUAUUCAGAGUGUUGGUGUUGCUGCUUUGCUCUGGCCUCGGCCUCAAUUUUUCUUAAAGUAGUAGAACUAACCUUCUCUGUUGCCGAAUCCUCUGAUGGCAAGAGGUCCACUACUUCAAUUUUCAGUUGGGAUAAGCCUCGCUCG
rnacentral:misc_RNA from 1 species